UAUUUGUUACUGUACAUACUUGAAGUUUUUUGUUAUACUAUAGUACCAUAUUUGUUGCUGUACAUACUUGAAGGUUUUUGCUAUGUUAUGUUACCAUAUUUGUUACCGUACAUACUUGAAGCUUUCUGCAUUCUCUUUUAUUAUACAUACUUGAAGUUAUUUUUGCA